rnacentral:rRNA from 1 species
AUUGAACGCUGGCGGCAGGCUUAACACAUGCAAGUCGAACGAGUGGCGGACGGGUGCGUAAUGCUUGGGCAUCUAGCUUAUGGAGGGGGAUAACUACGGGAAACUGUAGCUAAUCCCGCGUACCAUAGGAUGAGCCCAAGUGGGAUUAGGUAGUGGGUGAGGUAAAGGCUCCCCAAGCCGACGAUCUCUAGCUGGUCUGAGAGGAUGACCGGCCACACUGGGACUGAGACACGGCCCAGCCUCCUACGGGAGGCAGCAGUGGGGAAUAUUGCGCAAUGGGGGCAACCUGACGCAGCCAUGCCGCGUGAAUGAAGAAGGCCUUCGGGUUGUAAAGUUCUUUCGGUAGCGAGGCGUUAACUACAGAAGAAGCACCGGCUAACUCCGUGCCAGCAGCCGCGGUAAUAC